UACGUAGGUGGCGAGCGUUGUCCGGAUUUACUGGGCGUAAAGGGAGCGUAGGCGGACUUUUAAGUGAGAUGUGAAAUACUCGGGCUCAACUUGAGUGCAGCAUUUCAAACUGGAAGUCUAGAGUGCAGGAGAGGAGAAUGGAAUUCCUAGUGUAGCGGUGAAAUGCGUAGAGAUUAGGAAGAACACCAGUGGCGAAGGCGAUUCUCUGGACUGUAACUGACGCUGAGGCUCGAAAGCGUGGGGAGCAAACAGG
rnacentral:rRNA from 1 species